UACGGAGGGGUGCAAGCGUUAUCCGGAUUCACUGGGUUUAAAGGGUGCGUAGGAGGGCAGGGAAGUCAGUGGUGAAAUCUCCGGGCUUAACUCGGAACUGCCGUUGAUACUCUCUGUCUUGAAUCCCGUGGAGGUGAGCGGAAUAUGUCAUGUAGCGGUGAAAUGCUUAAAUAUGACAUAGAACACCGAUUGCGAAGGCAGCUCGCUACACGAAGAUUGACUCUGAGGCACGAAAGCGUGGGGAUCAAACAGG
rnacentral:rRNA from 1 species